GCGUCGCGCGAGGGCGGAGGACGCGAACGCUCGCGGAACCGUGUGAUCGUUCUGAGGGUGUAACGACACCCGUAUGUCAAAUCCUACACUGAUUUAAAUGCCGCCAAACUGUUACUCCGGCGCUAUCUUCACCUGGCCCUUAUUUGUCCCGUGAGCUGAAAGUUCGCUCCUCCUUGACCACGCGUUACCUGACAGGAGUUGAGUUUCACCGAGUAUUGUGGUGAAGGGAGUGUCUCUUUUCAGCUUGGGAACACCGCUUAAUUCUUUCAGCCUCAAUACGUUCAUCUGUUCUAAAGCCAUCUCUGUCAGUAUCUUUUCCUCAUUCGUACACAGAGCUCCAGCAUGUCCGUUCCUGCCGGUGACGAUGGCGGUGCAUCUCGCCAUCUGAUUGCGUGCGUCGAAAAGAUAUGCAGAUAUGGAAGAUGUGUGCUGAUGGACGGGAAGCCCACCUGCGAGUGUCAGCUGGGCUACGUUGGAGAGUCCUGUAGCGAAACGGUAAAUGACGCUCUGUCUGUACCUCUCACCCUCGGCGUCAUUGCGUUCAUCGUUGGCGUUAUCAUCAUGUUCUUUGGCGUGGCUUUUAUCCGGCAAAGGCUAAAGGCGAAGAAGAGACAAAAGGCAGCCGAGGAAGCCCUGUUGAGAAAUGGAGCGCACCCUUAGCAUGCUUUUAAUGCAGCGUGCCAUAAAAUAGUACCGUCAACACUUUCCACCGUGACACUUAACUCACACUUCGCGUGAUGUUAGGCUUCUUUAUAUAUGUAGGACUGAACGCAUUCGACGUUAACCGAAAGCUGUUGUUUAUGAAAUCCGUGAAGUCUGCAGCACGUCUGAAUGAUUGUAGAACAUGGAGAGGAGAUACGUGUAAAUCACGUUAGACGAGCAUGGACUGGUUCCUCAAACAUGCCAGGUAUUUCAGUGCUGCUUCUUCUGCUGUUAUUUUUAGCUCGGUCCUGACUGGCGAGUUUCAAUAACUGAAAGCCGAAUAGUUUCACGGACUGAUAAGACACAGACUGGUAUCUUUUUCAAGCAUUUAUGGAAAACAUGCGUGCCAUUUUUUUUAUGGGUUGGGUUGAGUUUAUUUUUGCUUUUGUAGUUUCACGACAGCUUUGAAUUCAACCUUUUUAGCUUUUUAGCCUUAUUCAGCUGUUAACAUGACUGUCUGUACAGUAUUUUUCAAUAAAGAUAUUUUUUCAUUUGCUUCUA